rnacentral:piRNA from 1 species
UAUAUGCCCGUGUGUAUAAAUGCACUCCC